GGUGGGUGUACCCAACCUACUUCUUCAUGUGUGGGAGGAGCAAGGCACAUGCUUGGAAGAUACAAAUUCUAAUGUAUGCUGUAAAGCGGAGAUGGCGAAGGAAUGCUGUAGGAGGAUCAGACUUCUUGAAGGGGGAUUUGGAAGAGCAUCUGCAAGGUAACCAUUUCUUACUGUCCUCGUUCAGAGAUCUCUGGCUCAGUUAUGGAGGUACAGUGACAAUUUUUCUUUUACGUUCAAGUCCUUCACAACUUGCCAUACUCUGGUGCUUUGCAAAU
ensembl:lncRNA